rnacentral:misc_RNA from 1 species
AAUGAACCCUCGAAGGAUACUCAGCUAUUGCUCUGCUUCUGGGAGGAGGGAUUUCCUCACGCCGUCCAUACUCCCUCUUCAAGCUACUCUUUGGAUAUGAGGGAACAGGUGGUCUUCGGUCAUAUGAUCUGCUAGAUGGUGGAGCUGUGGGUCUUCCCCUAGGAGGCAAAUCCAUCACAGCCCGUCUAUCUCUCGAUCCUGCAGGUCGCUUAAAACCACGACUAACUACAGGAGGCACACGUGUACUAACUCUAGUCCCUCGAAUAGCACGACUAUGUGGCACUAUACGACCCCAAGGGGCACGUGGACCAUGCAUGGACAUACGCCAAGGUCGCAAAUCUCCUCGUCCACCAUAUUUCGCUCUGCCCCUCUCAAGGGGUCUUGAUAAUCUGGCCCUAACUUUAACCUUGUUAUCUCCUUCA